CAACCAGAACACAGACUGCCGUUCACAGUCCAACAUAGGAGCUAAGUUUUCUUGAUUUUUAUCACACUAAUGCUGUCCCUUCAAUCACCCUGUCCCCAUACUUCUAUCUCCAUGCCCCAUCUCUCCCUCUCCCUCUCCCUCCACCUCUACCCUUUCCUCUCUGAACAGCACACCUGAAGCAGGGCAGGCCCCUCCUCUUGGGACACCUGGUGCCACUCUUGCAGUUUAUCAGCAGAAGUUGAGGGUGCUGAGCCCUCCGGGGGGACAGAGGGCAUGGGCAGAAAUGGCAGGCUCCUUCUUCCCUGAGGGUACCCCUCUUGUUGUGGUUAUGAAGUUGAGGCUGAAAACAAGCUGUUAGCUGACCCAUCUCAAUCAGAAUGUCUAAGCCCAUUUCCAUUCUGGUGAGUCACAUUGCUGGGCCGCCUAGCCCGCUGGGCACCUUGCUCCAGGGAUGCCCUAUGGGAUCUCAUUGUCUGUCUCUCUCUUUCUCGGCACCUUGCUCUAGGGAUGCCCCAUGGGAUCUCAUUGUCUGUCUCUCUCUUUCUCACACACACAUAUCAAGGAGGUAAGUUUUCUUGAUUUUUCCCACCCUAAAGCUGUCCCUUCUCUCACCCUGUCCCGUCCUGUCCCAUCCUGUCCCAUCCUGUAGCUGUCCUGUUCAACCUUUGUUCUAGAUCUCAGACCCUAGCAGCCUGGAACCCCUACAAACAACAUCAGGUGAUGGAUUGAGGGAAAGUCCAAGAGCUCAUGGGGCACCAUGGGCCACUCCAGACAAAGAGAGCACAGGGCAAGAACCACUCCAGAAGCUCACAGGCUGUGUUGUUAGAGUCUGGUCCAUUUCAAUAGGAAGGUUACAGAGCUGUGGCUAGAGCUCUAGCUGCCCAGUACCUCCCUGGUCCUCAUCCGGGUCAUCAUCAGCUCCUUGUGUUACUCCAUCUCCAUGGAUGUCAGAAUCCUCCUCUGCCCUGAGACCCAAUUAAAACACACCUUGUUUCUGAGGCUGGGACUGUCUUCAGUCAAGAUACCAUUGCCGCAGCCCCUCCCAACCCAUCCUGGCCAUUUCAGUCAUGCCAGUAUUCAAGCCAGACUUGUCUUUCUGUCAAGUUUCCCUUUUGCCAAAUAAACCAUCCAUCUUUUCCUACCCAA